AGUGAACGCUGGCGGUAGGCUUAACACAUGCAAGUCGAACGGCAGCACAGUAAGUUCUUGCUCUUACGGGUGGGGAGUGGCGUACGGGUGAGGAGAAUAUCGGAAUCUACUUUUUCGUGGGGGUUCACGUAGCGGAACCUACGCUAGUAUCGCAUACCACCUACCGGUGAGAGCAUUGGAUCUUCUCAGCUGUUGCGGUUGAACGCGCUGAUGUCGGGUUAGUUAGUUGGCGGGGUAAUGGCCCACCAAGGCGGCGAUCCGUAGCUGGUCAGAGAGGAUGAUCGGCCACACUGGAACUGAGACACGGACCAGACUCCUGCGGGAGGCAGCAGUGGGGAAUGUUGGACAGUGGGGGCGAGCCUGAUCCAGCCAUACCGCGUGGGUGAAGACGGCCUUCGGGUUGUAAAGCCCUUUUGUUGGGUGAGAAAAGCAGCAGGUUGAUACCCCGCUGGUCUGACGGUAACCAAAGAAGAAGCACCGGCUAACUACGUG
rnacentral:rRNA from 1 species